UACGGAGGGAGCUAGCGUUGUUCGGAAUUACUGGGCGUAAAGCGCACGUGGGCGGCUUUGCAAGUUAGAGGUGAAAGCCCGGGGCUCAACUCCGGAAUUGCCUUUAAAACUGCAUCGCUAGAGUUGUGGAGAGGUAAGUGGAAUUCCGAGUGUAGAGGUGAAAUUCGUAGAUAUUCGGAAGAACACCAGUGGCGAAGGCGACUUACUGGACACAUACUGACGCUGAGGUGCGAAAGCGUGGGGAGCAAACAGG
rnacentral:rRNA from 1 species